rnacentral:rRNA from 1 species
CCUACGGGAGGCAGCAGUGGGGAAUAUUGGACAAUGGGCGAAAGCCUGAUCCAGCAAUGCCGCGUGAGUGAUGAAGGCCUUAGGGUUGUAAAGCUCUUUUACCCGGGAUGAUAAUGACAGUACCGGGAGAAUAAGCUCCGGCUAACUCCGUGCCAGCAGCCGCGGUAAUACGGAGGAAGCUAGCGUUGUUCGGAAUUACUGGGCGUAAAGCGCACGUAGGCGGCUUUGUAAGUUAGAGGUGAAAGCCUGGAGCUCAACUCCAGAAUUGCCUUUAAGACUGCAUCGCUUGAAUCCAGGAGAGGUGAGUGGAAUUCCGAGUGUAGAGGUGAAAUUCGUAGAUAUUCGGAAGAACACCAGUGGCGAAAGGCGGCUC